AAGACGCGCACUGUUCAUCCUUUUCUUCAUCUCAGCCUCGUCCAAACUCGUCAAAUCUCAGGCAAGUGAGCCAAAAUCACUCACAUGCACCUUAUCUCACCACGUCAGUAAGAUUCUAACGGCUUCUAACAUUUUUUUCGUCUCUCAUGUGCUGGAUUUUUUUGGGAAUUUCUGGAGAAUGAAGUCCGAAAAAUGGGAGUCGUGGAUUAAUUUUGAAUCGAUCCUCUCCUUCCAUAUGUCCGGAUUUGCUCUAAAAAGGAAUUUUUUUGGAUUUCUUGAAAAAAAGGAGAGAAACUUCGAGAGAGGGGUAUAUAUAUACCCAUGUCUGAGUUCAGGAUGGAGGAGGUUUUGUUAGGCAGAUUUUUAGGGUUCUAGAAAGGCUUCUCUUCUUGUCUUUUGAUUGAUCUGCAUUUUUCUUUUGUCGAAUUCCAGUCACAAAAUCAAAAAUACAAAAAAAAAUGUUUUGUCUAAUAUUAGCAACUCUGUUCUAUUCAUCUAAAAAUUUAGAAAUUUCAUCUUCAUUAUGAGUUGGAUUGAGGUUCGAGAUAAGGUGUUAGUAGCCGAUUGUUUAUGUCCGAGUUUGUUGUUUGGUUCAAAUUUUUGUUCUAGCUGUGGUAUCGAUUUUGUUGGUAUAGUUGCUGAAGAGUUUCGAGGAAUUGAAACUCCAAUCUUCAGGUGCAGUUCCUUCUUUCUUCUCAUGUCUCUGUAUGUGUGGAUCCAAGUAUGGUUGAGUCUUAAGAUAUGGAGAUUGAAAUUACAUUUUUGUUCAUUAUAAAUUAGUGUGUUUGAGUUCAAUAUGUGAUUGGAACAUCCUGCGAGGUCGGCUUUGCUUUCUUUUGGUUUGAAUGAUUGAAGUUUGAAUCGAGUCUGUGGUUGUUAUACGAGGUGCAUUGUCUGUUUGUUGAUUCAGUAGCAUUUACAACACUUCUCACACGUCUCUAAUGCAAUACAAGCUUAUGAAAUUAACACUAGUUGUCUUUUGUUGCUUUUAUGUUGCCUAGUCAAUAGUAUUUACCAAGACCUACUACGAAUGCUCAAAGAUAAGCGAUUCAAUGCUUGUUCUAAAGCUGUAGCUGGUCUAGACUUCAACUAUCCAAGUAGAAUUAAUUUAAAUUUCAGUAAUAGCUUAUUAAGGUUUGGUUCAUUCUAGUCAUGUUUAGUUUAGUUUUACAUUCGCGUGGCUUGUUCACCUCAUCUUGGUUCGUAGAACUGUUGUACAAAUGCUACCGCUGUUAUUUUUCUUGUUCUUGUCCAGUUCAUUCGCUAGUUCUUCUAUUGAUAAUCCGUCAUUUGGUUUCUCUUGCUGUUCUGCUCUUGUUAGGUGCGUCUGCCAAUUUUCCAUUGUCCUUUAUUAGGCUGUGAAGAAUGUUUGAGUGUUAAUUCCAUAAACAUGUCAAAUCUAAUGGAAUCUAGCUAUUUUGAACAUCAAAUCUGUCUUGUUUUCUCUCUCUUAAAUUGGGAAGUUCAUUGAGUUGCUGUUAUUUGAAAUUUUGAACUGGUGUUAUUCCACUGUCAUUAUACGUAAAUAAUUCUAGUGCCUAAAUUUCAUGUUGCUACUUCUGAAUUCUAUGGUAUUUUCUUCUCUUUUUUGUUUACAUGCAUUUUGAAUGGUUUUGGUGAGACUGAGAAUUAUAUUGCCAAAAUGGUUACCGCCUGCUAGAUCUUUCGAUAAUUCAUUUGGUCGAAGAUGCUUGUUUCAUAAUGUCGCUUAAUUGGUUCUUUGGAUUAGUUUGUCGGAUUAGAGACUCUAAUGAUUUGAACAAGUUAUUAGUUGGCUUGGGGUUUAAACGUUGAAUAAAUUUGACAACCUGAUUAUUUCUUUAUUUCAUGAGAUUAUGGUUUGGGUUUGUUACUGUCUUAUUUUGUUCAAUAAAUGUUCAAGGAGUAUUUUUGGGAAUCUGGAACUUACAGUUGUUAAUGAGUGGAUAAUAUAAUCUUUGAUGAAUGUUUAGGUAUUUUUGGUUUUGAAUUAAUGUCAUUUGGAGUAUAACAUUAGAAUGAAAUCUGAUGUUUUCUUCCCAUUUUCUCGUGCAAUGUAUAGGAGAACCCCUUUUGUUUUUUUCCCUUUCUCAUAGAAUUGUACUUAGUAGGAUUGUAUAUCUCGUCCUCUCGUUGUUGGUCUAUUAGUUUAAAUUGAUCCGAAAUUUUAGUCUUAAAAGUGUUGAUAAUUAUUUCCUCUAAUUAAUUGAAUUUUCACUAGUUACAUUGUGAGGUGAGCCAUACUAGAUAAUAUAAAUAGUUUAUGGCCAUCCGAAGUUUAAGUCGAAUUCCCUUUUUAGAAUUGGAAUUGAGGUGCGUCGAGCCAAAUAAAAUCUCAAAUGCAUGGGCCUCAUUUAAUUAUUUCUUUUAUAUCCUUAGAACUCGAGGCGUGCCAUUUAGCAAAUUUUUCAUGGCCCUCACAAAGUAAAAAACGCUUAGUUGCUUUAGGCGCAUCAUUUUAAUUAUUUAGCUUCCUAAACUCAGGUGUGCAUUUCAUGUGACCCAAAUUCAAAUCUUAAUAACGUUGAGCAAAAUGUAUUUCGGAUUGCGGGUGCAUUUCAUGUGGCGCAGUCCAAAGAUAUUUUUCAGACGACGUUAAAUCUUCUUAAUAAAAGUUGUUUUUAAGUUAAAAUGCACGUAGGUUUGAAAGUGUUCUAAAAUUAGAUAAUUAGGCCAAUAAUAACAGUUGAGCGGCCGUGAUAGAACCACGGAACUCGGGAAUGCCUAUCACCUUCUCCCGGAUUAACAGAAUUCCUUAUUCGUAUUUUUAUGUUUGCGGAUUGUAAUAUAGAGUUAAUAUUUUUCUCGAUUUGGGAUUUAACACGUGACUUGGGACAUCAUAAAUUAUCCCAAGUGGUGACUAUAAGUUUUAAUUAAAAUUAAUUCCAUUUCGAUUGUUACUUUAAGUUAGAAAAAACUCCCCUUAAUACCCUUCUAAGGGUGUAGGAAAAAGGAGGUGUGAGAAUGUUUUGAUUGCUAUACGUCAUUUCUUGAUAUUUAUGCCUUUACUUAUUACUUGACAUUUAUUUGUUACAAGUUUUCAUUUAUUCAUUCCCUGAUUUUACAUGUUUUGCCUGCUAUAUGCUCCCACCUGUAUUAAAUAAAUGUCUUUACUGUUUCAUGCCUUUAUGUCUUUACCUUACUUGUUGCGCUUAUUUAUACUAUAACCGAUUGUGUGAGCGCUUCGCUAUUCUUGCGUUAAUGACUUGUCGAGCUUCGUGUUGGCUUACACAUGAGUAUAUUUUACACAUUUGAGUUAUUGGUUGUCCUCUAUUUGUCUCGUAGUUCCUUGGUAAUUUAUACGCUUUAGUUCCUUUUUUGGUUAUGAUUUUAGAAUUAAUUAUAUGACUUUUAAAUAUUAACGAAACGAUAUUGCAAACGGGUUGCACACUGCAAUAAAAAGAAAAUGAAAUGGUAUUGGGUUCAGGUUGCAUGCCGAAAAUUGACAUGAUAUUGGGAUGGGAUUGCUUGCCGCAACUGAUAUUAAAAUGAUGUUGGUAUCGAGUUGCUCCCCAUAACAGUUGUUAUUUUGGUAUUAGAUCGGGUUGCACGCCGCAAUCGGAGAUGACCUGUUGUAAUUGUGUAUAAUUGUGGUGUUCUAUUUCUGUUCACUAUGAUAAGAGGGUAUGCGAUGAUGUUAUUCUGAGGCCAUCUGUUAGUUAACCUUCUGAUCCCGUUGUUAUAAGUUUAUCUGUUUUCUCUAUAUUUCUGUUAUUUUCUAUUGAUUAUUCGUACAGGUUUGUAGUGAGUGUUUUGUCAUAGCCUCGUCACUACUUCAUUAAUUGCAAAAGGCUCAACACUUACAGAGUACAUGGGAUCGAUUAUACUCAUACUAUAAUUUUGUUCUUCUUGUGCAGAUCCUGAUGUUCGUCCUAGUGGCAUAUAAAGGAGAUGGCCAAAUUUGAUCUAUCCAUGAAAUUGGAGGUAGAGCUGCACGGUGUUCACAAUCUGUGAAGUCCCAUUCUAUCUUGUUUUACUAUUUAACUUAUUUCAAAAAGUUGUGAUAGCUUAUUUGGGUCCACCACACGAUAGAGUACUUAGUCCUCUAUGAGACUGAUACGUUGAAAGCAGUAAAGACUGAAUGUAAAGGAGGC
rnacentral:lncRNA from 1 species